rnacentral:rRNA from 1 species
CUGCUGUUAUACAGAAAGAAAAGAUAUAGGAGUGGAAAGCCUAUAUUAUGACGGUACUGUAUCAGAAAGUGACGGCAAACUAUGUGCCAGCAGCCGCGGUAAUACAUAGGUCACAAGCGUUAUCCGAAAUUAUUGGGCGUAAAGCGUCCGUAGGUUGUUUGUUAAGUCUGGAGUUAAAGACCGGUGCUCAACGCCGGCACGCUUUAGAUACUGGCAAACUAGAGUUAUAAAGAGGUAAGUGGAAUUUCAUGUGAAGCGGUGGAAUGCGUAGAUAUAUGAAAGAACACCAAUGGCGAAGGCAGCUUACUGGUUAUAUACUGACACUGAGGGACGAAAGCGUGGGGAGCAAACAGGAUUAGAUACCCUGGUAGUCCACGCCGUAAACGAUGAUCAUUAGUUGGUGGGGGAACCCUCGCUAACGCAGCUAACGCAUUAAAUGAUCCGCCUGAGUAGUAUGCUCGCAAGAGUGAAGCUUAAAGGAAUUGACGGGGACCCGCACAAGCGGUGGAGCAUGUGGUUUAAUUUGACGAUACGCGUAGAACCUUACCCACUCUUGACAUCCCUUGCAAAGCUAUAGAGAUAUAGUGGAGGUUAACAAGGUGACAGAUGGUGCAUGGUUGUCGUCAGCUCGUGUCGUGAGAUGUUCGGUUAAGUCCUGCAACGAGCGCAACCCCUAUCCUUAUUUACUAACAUUAAGUUGAGAACUAUACGGAUACUGCUCAGGUAACUGGGAGGAAGGUGGGGAUGACGUCAAAUCAUCAUGCCUCUUACGAGUGGGGCAACACACGUGCUACAAUGGCCGGUACAAAGAGACGCAAUAUGGUGACAUGGAGCAAAUCUGAAAAACCGGUCUCAGUUCGGAUUGAAGGCUGCAAUUCGCCUUCAUGAAGUCGGAAUCGCUAGUAAUCGUAGAUCAGCUACGCUACGGUGAAUACGUUCUCGGGUCUUGUACACACCGCCCGUCACACCAUGGGAGCCGGUAAUGCCCAAAGUC